GUCUUCGAUAGAUAUGGUUGAAUGUGAUUAUAGAAACGGCGUCAAUGGAAUAUUCAGCCAUCAACCACUUACGACAUUGGCGAGUGCAGCUUUGUCAUUCUUGUCUAUGGGCACACUCAGAGGACCUUCCAGCAAUGUUAUGAUAUCUUCAAGAGCUUGCCGAUACUGCCGGAUGAUGACUGUGGGGUGCAUUUGUUGCUCCAGAAAUUGUUCAGCGGCAGCCAACAUUUCCCCAGCCAAUACUAUAACUGAAGUUGUUCCAUCACCAACCUGUAAAAUAACAGAUUUGAAUAUACCUGAUUAACUAAAA